rnacentral:rRNA from 1 species
UACGUAGGGUGCGAGCGUUAUCCGGAAUCAUUGGGCGUAAAGAGCUCGUAGGCGGUUCAACAAGUCGGCUGUGAAAGUCUGGGGCUCAACCCCAUAAUUGCAGUCGAUACUGUUGUGACUUGAGUCCGGUAGAGGAGAAUGGAAUUCCCGGUGUAGCGGUGGAAUGCGCAGAUAUCGGGAGGAACACCAGUAGCGAAGGCGGUUCUCUGGGCCGGCACUGACGCUGAGGAGCGAAAGCGUGGGGAGCAAACAGG